rnacentral:rRNA from 1 species
AUUGAACGCUGGCGGCAUGCUUUACACAUGCAAGUCGAGCGGUAACGCGGGGGCAACCCUGGCGACGAGUGGCGAACGGGUGAGUAAUACAUCGGAACGUGCCCAGUAGUGGGGGACAGCUCGGCGAAAGCCGGAUUAAUACCGCAUACGACCUACGGGUGAAAGCGGGGGCUCGCAGGACCUCGCGCUAUUGGAGCGGCCGAUGGCAGAUUAGCUUGUUGGUGGGGUAAAGGCCUACCAAGGGUACGAUCUGUAGCUGGUCUGAGAGGACGACCAGCCACACUGGGACUGAGACACGGCCCAGACUCCUACGGGAGGCAGCAGUGGGGAAUUUUGGACAAUGGGCGCAAGCCUGAUCCAGCAAUGCCGCGUGUGUGAUGAAGGCCUUCGGGUUGUAAAGCACUUUUAGUGGGAACGAAACGGUCCGGGCCAAUACCCUGGACUACUGACGGUACCCGCAGAAUAAGCACCGGCUAACUACGUGCCAGCCGCCGCCGUAA